UAGCUCAGUGAUAGAGCGCUUGCCUUGCAUGCAGGAGGCCCUGGGUUUGAUCCUCAG
rnacentral:tRNA from 1 species